CAACUACUCCCUCCGUACGGAAUUACUUGUCAUCAAAAUGGAUGUGUCUAGAACUAAAAUACAUCUAGAUACAUCCAUUUCAAUGACAAGUAUUUUUGGACGGAGGGAGUACAAG
rnacentral:pre_miRNA from 1 species